UACAGAGGGGGCAAGCGUUAUUCGGAAUUAUUGGGCGUAAAGGGCGCGUAGGCGGCUUGGCAAGUGGAGGGUGAAAUCCCUCGGCUUAACCGAGGAACUGCCCUCCAAACUGCUUCGCUUGAGACCGGGAGAGGUGAGUGGAAUUCCCAGUGUAGCGGUGAAAUGCGUAGAUAUUGGGAGGAACACCAGUGGCGAAGGCGGCUCACUGGACCGGUACUGACGCUGAUGCGCGAAAGCGUGGGGAGCAAACGGG
rnacentral:rRNA from 1 species